rnacentral:rRNA from 1 species
UACGGAGGGGGCUAGCGUUGUUCGGAAUUACUGGGCGUAAAGCGCACGUAGGCGGCUGUGUAAGUCAGAGGUGAAAGCCCAGGGCUCAACCUUGGAACUGCCUUUGAGACUGCACGGCUUGAAUCACGGAGAGGUGGGUGGAAUUCCGAGUGUAGAGGUGAAAUUCGUAGAUAUUCGGAAGAACACCAGUGGCGAAGGCGGCCCACUGGACGUGUAUUGACGCUGAGGUGCGAAAGCGUGGGGAGCAAACAGG